rnacentral:lncRNA from 1 species
UUUGUCGUUUUCCUGAGUUUCGUCUGACUCGGGUUUGACCUCAAAAUUCUGCUGUGGUGGUGAUGGUGGUGGUUCUUCAGGAUCUGCUUUGUCGUGGUGGAACUUGACGACAAUGCAGGUGAUAUUGUCGGCACUACCACGACCAAAAGCAGUCUCCGUCAGCUUACAAGCAGCUCCUUUUUCUGUUUGCGCUAUCUGAACGGCAUCCUGAAAUAAAUGUGUACAGUAGCAUUACAAAAAUAGUUCGUUUUCUUCGUCGUAUUUCGGAUAAGAUUUUCCCUUAUUUGGCCUUAUUUGGGAAUGUCGAUGUAUUUAUGAUUAUCUUAAGUUUAAGAUUAAGAUAUAUUAUUAUACAAUUCUUGUAUCGGCUAAUAUCCUACGUUGGAUAAACAAUUCCGAAAAGGAACUUACGAAGUCAGUUCAUAAACGAAAAAGUAGUGAUAAUCAUCUAAAAGGCUUUACCUCAUUAGGUACGACAUCCCAAAGGCCAUCACUGGCGAGCACAACCAAUUCAUAGUCCUGGUCAACCUCUUGGUCCUGUAGUAUCGAAACAAUAAAAUUUGUGUCUGUUGUGAACACUGUUUUUAGGCCAAACCAUGACCAACUUUGGAUUACAAUGGAAAAACAAAAAUUCUAUUAAAAAUUCCCGAGUACCUGAAUCUCGGGUUCAGCCACAACAAAUUGCUUCAGCAUGCGUAGCCAAAAGCACGAGACAUAGCCAAAACACCUCCGACCCUCCAAGUUCCUGAUAAGAAAGCAAUAACAUAAUGUCAACACUAUUUCCAAGCACUCGCGAUUUUUUUUUUAAUAAAUAAAUUUGAAUUUGACGUUAUAACUUUCUACAGACAAGGCAUAGAUUAUCAUAAAUAUUUUACCUAAAAUUAACAUCACUUCUCUUUUCACCACACAUCUCAAUCAAGAAUAACCAAUCUCUCACGUGGCGUAGAUAAAAGUACAAAAGAAUUAACAUAUAUAGCUGACGAAGAUCAAUUAGUCCACAAAUGAGGUCCCAUAUCUGUGUAUUCAGUUAAGUCUUUGAUCCAGAUCCAGAUGUAGCUCCAAAGCUACCAAAUCCAUGUGCAGCGUUAUGGUUAAUGCCAGGAAAACCAUACGUUGUUGCUCCAGUUCCAGCUGUAGUUGCAAAGCCGCCAAACCCCUGUGGAAUAUUACGAUUCAUGCCAGGAAAAUCGUAAAUAUUCGAUCCAGACACACUUGCAGAUCCCUGUGCCAUAUUACUGUUCAUUCCGGAACUGUCACUAGCAACAUCUACUUUUGCUUUCUUAGGACAUGGAUCAGAUGUUGGGGCCGGACGACUUCUUCGCUUCUUAUCCCUUGGAAGCUGGCUUAUCACAACAAAAGUGGGUCCUCUUGACGCCACAGAAGGAGCCGGAUCUUCAGCAUUUUGAGUGGUUGGAUUUUCAGACGGCUUCUUCUUUGCCUGAUAAGGCACAGGCUUGCAGUUUUUGGAAAAACGCGGUUGAGCCAUCUCUAAAGCCAUAAAUGGCUUCUUACAGCUUGGACAGCGGAGAAUAUUGUUGAGAUACAUCCGGAGGUACUCGUACUGCAUGUUGCAGAGAUUACAUAUUGUCCAAAAUGUAUCACCAUUUUUCUUGUAGAGUGGAGUGGGAGCUGGUCUUGAUGGCACCUUGGCACUCUUCUUCUGUGCCUUUGGAACUGCAGUUCUUGCUCCAGGUGGUGCUGACGAGCCACUGGGAUAUGCUGAUGGGCCGCUGGUAUAUGCUGGCGGGACAGAGGUGUGAGCUGGUGGACGACCAGCGGUGCGUGCCGACGGACCGACACCUGGUUGUGCUGGUGGUUGGCCGCCAGUGGAUGCCGAUGGACUAGCACCUGUGUAAACUUGUGGACGAAAGCCAGUGUGUGCAGAUGGAGCACCACCGGUGCGCGCUGAUGGAGCACCGCUAGUGCGUGGUGCUGAUGGAGCGCCGCCAGUGUGUGCUGAUGGAGCACCGCUAGUGCGUGGUGCUGAUGGAGCACAACCAGUGUGGGCUGAUGGAGCACCGCUAGCGCAGGGUGCUGAUGGUGCACAACCAGUGUGCGCUGAAGGUGCACCGCCAGUGUGUGCCGGAAUUCUCUGUUGGAAUCCGAUAAUUCCUCUUCGUUGGUUGUAGGCCAACCUUCUCUCCUCGUCCAACAACAACUUCCAGGCCUCAGAAAUAAGUUUGAAGGCACCAUCUGCACCGAUAGAGCUGUUCUUGUCCGGGUGCAGCAGAAGAGCCAAUCUCCUGAACUGUUUCUUUAUUGUGUUCUCGUCGGCAGAGGGGCUCACAGCGAGCACUCCAUACCAAUCCGUUUCCCCGUUAAUUUUGUUUUCUGCUGAAAUGUACACAUCGAGUGUCAUCAGCAGCUGGGAAAUACCAUCCAAGCCUGGGUACAGAUUUUGUGCUUUCAAGGCAAACUUUUUUGCACUAAAAAAGUCCCUCUGCUCCAACUUCGCCUCUGCGAUAGAUUUUGCCCUCAUCGCUUCAUCUCUAUUGCACUCCAUAUUCGACGCUUCACUAGAUUAUCGACGGUACUCUUGGUAUGGCAAUACAACAGCAGAAGUGCACCCACUGAUAGCUCACUAGAAACACGAAAAUAUUGCACUGAUAUAGGUAAAGAUCUCCACAAAACAGCAAUCCUUUUAAUACUUAAUUGCGCCAAGGACCUAAUUUAUGAUAGAAAAGAUAAAUGAAGUCAGUUCUAUAAUGACAGAAAAAUGCAAUGGAGGAAACAAAAGAAAUGAAAUCAACGGAAAUACAACAAGUAUUCAUGGAGCAGUCUAAACUUUUAAGUACUGAUACAAAAUAUAUAUAUCAUCUUGACAAAAUUGAUCACCCAUGCAAAACAGCGUGAAACAUGAGCAGAAAUUAAGGGAUCAUGAUUUCGACGUGCAAAAUAUAAAAAACCCCAAAGUUCCAUCAAAUAAUAAACAUUAAGUUAGACAAGAUCGAACUAUAAGUUGAUUGGACUAAAACCCGAAAUUUUCAGAAGAAACACUGAAAUAUAUAAACACAUUUAACCAAGUACUGAACCCCUCAAAUCUGCAAUUGAACAACAGAUGGUUCAAUUUGGUGAUAUUAUGUUUCGCUAAAGCUUAGUGGUUCGGAUCAUACUUGAAAGUAAGAAAGUAAUUUUGGGAAAUAAAAUUGUAAUUUUAGGAAUGGGGCGUAAUUCAAAGGCGUUCGGAAAAAGAAAUAAAAGUAUUCAAAUCUGAGAUGGAUCGGAAAUCUCUCAUUUACUUCCAUCUGUUUACACUUUACAUAAAUUUAGAGUGUUAAUAAUUAUUUGCGUGCCGAUUAGGAUCGACAGAAAGGUUAAAAAUGGAGCUUUUCUGAACACGUGUUAAUAACGGUCGAUCCGUUAAAACAGUAACCUGUUUCGGACACGUGUUGAUAACGGUCGACUCGAAAAGUUUAAAAAAUUUACCCGCGAAAUCAAUCAAGUUUACAAGCAAAUGAAAAUUCCGAUAACCUAUUUCGGACACGUGUUGAAAACGGUCGACUCAAACAGUUAGAAAAAAUUACCCGCGAAAUCAAUCAAGUUUACGAGCAAAUGAAAAUUCCAAGUUAAGAUGUAAAACAUCUGCAUGAACAUGAAACCAGUCAGCCUUUAGCUGCUUAUUAGUUUUUCCAAGCACACCCAAGUUCAAUUUUAAAAUCAUUUAACACCAAAUUCGAUAUUCAGAAAAAAUGCAUGAAAUUGAAGAAACAGUCUGCAAAUGAUUAUUUGAGCACAGAUUACACAGAAAAACCACAUUACACCAGAUCAGUAAAUUAUCAGGCGAAAACCCUAAUCACAGCACAACCUUCGUCUCAACAGCAGUAAAUGAUAAAAAAAUUAAAAAGAAAAAAAAACAAUGAUUCAAGCAAUCACAACGAGUACAAAUCUGUGCAAAAUUAUAGUUAAACCCCUAAAUGUAAAAUAAAACAAAAACAGAACCCAAAUUCAGAGAACACAGAAACCUAAUCAUGGAUCUGUAUGCUGAAAAGUGAAAAGACGACAGAAAAAAAAAUUAAAAAAAAAUCAAUUUCACUCAAAAUCAAAAUUCAGAAUUGAAGAUUACAAAUUCCACGUAGAAAACAAAAAAAAAAAGGACAAGGAGAGAAGAGAUGAAUUACUGAUAAAAUUGAGGAGUUUGAAUCGGCGGGUGUUUGAACCGGUUGGGGUUUUAUCUAUCUAUCUUUCCCACCAAAUUGAAACAAGAAACCUGAAAAAGUGCACAAAAUGUAUAUGCAAUUGAGAAAAUUGAUAGUGACUAUUGCAGGGUUUCAUCUCAUGUUUCUUAUAUAAUAAAAAAAAAAAUCGGGUUAACCCUAACUAGAGUUGGAUUUAACCAUGGUUAAUAAUUAGAUUUUAAACAAUAGUUACUUUUUAAAUGCUUAAAAUUCAUGCAUUGUUACACCUGUUGGAUUUCAACAUUUAUCGUCAUUUAUUACCUACAUCUGUCAGGAAUAUAAUGAAUUUAAUUUUUUUUCGAGGUCCUCGAUUUUCUUUGUUGUCAGUUGUAAUGCAUUUACUAUUUUUGUCUCGUAUAAUUAAUUUUCUUUUUCGAAAAUAUUAUUAAUUUUCUUUUUAUACUACUAAAGCAAAAUCUACUUCAAUCCCAUUUAAUUAAAAGGUUUAUCAAGCAAAAUAUAUAACAAGAUCACAGGCUACUACAAUCUAGAUAUUUUAUAUUAGUGUUUGAUUCCAUUGCAAUUUAUUUUUUUGUUUUUUUAUAAUUUAUAUUUUAGUUAGUCAUUUGUAGUUGUCACUUUUGAGUUUUGAAUAUUGGUAAGCGCGGGAGAAAAGCAAAGACAAUGUUACACUUGGUCAACCAUUGUGUUAAAUUACUAUAAUAGCCCUUGACUUUAUUGAGUAUGACUUGACUGGCAUAAUCCGGUUAUAUUUCAUUCCAAAAGCAACUCAGGAAAUAAAGCAAAUGGAACGACACCGUAUUAAUGGCUGCAAAAGAAAAUCAAAAAUCAAAAUCCGAGUACCACCGAGUCUCCACCGAGUUCAUUUUGGCAACGAGUCAAUGACCAAAAACGCCAGUUCUUUAUUAAAAUAAAAAUUACACCAACUUACCAAAAAAAUAAAAUUAAAAGAACACCACCUCCAGUACAUUUGAAUUACAAAGACAGAAAUACAAGAAACAAACCAAUGAAUGAACAAAUCACAACCACCGACAGCAUACGGGCAUAAUGCAGAUCAUGCAGAUUUAUGCUUCGGAGAAUUCAUCAACUUUGAUGGGUUGUAUGGGGCUCUUCUUUCGAAGUUUGCUGGCAUUCUUCGGGCGGAGAGUUUGCUUUGUCGUUUUCCUCAGUUUCUUCUGACUCGGGUUUGACCUCAAAAUUCUGCUGUGGUGGUGAUGGUGGUGGUUCUUCAGGAUCUGCUUUGUCGUGGUGGAACUUGACGACAAUGCAGGUGAUAUUGUCGGCACUACCACGACCAAAAGCAGUCUCCGUCAGUUUACGAGCAGCUCCUUUUUCUGUUUGCGCUAUCUGAACGGCAUCCUGAAAUAAAUGUGUACAGUAGCAUUACAAAAAUAGUUCGUUUUCUUCGUCGUAUUUCGGAUAAGAUUUUCCCUUAUUUGGGAAUGUCGAUGUAUUUAUGAUUAUUAAGUUUAAGAUUGAGAUAUAUUAUUAUACGAUUCUUGUAUCGGCUAAUAUCCUACGUUGGAUAAACAAUUCCGAAAAGGAACUUACGAAGUCAGUUCAUAAACGAAAAAGUAGUGAUAAUCAUCUAAAAGGCUUUACCUCAUUACGUACGACAUCCCAAAGGCCAUCACUGGCGAGCACAACCAAUUCAUAGUCCUGGUCAACCUCUUGGUCCUGUAGUAUGGAAACAAUAAAAUUUGUGUCUGUUGUGAACACUGUUUUUAGGCCAAACCAUGACCAACUUUGGAUUACAAUGGAAAAACAAAAAUUCUAUUAAAAAUUCCCGAGUACCUGAAUCUCGGGUUCAGCCACAACAAAUUGCUUCAGCAUGCGUAGCCAAAAGCGCGAGACAUAGCCAAAACACCUCCGACCCUCCAAGUUCCUGAUAAGAAAGCAAUAACAUAAUGUCAACACUACUUCCAAGCACUCGCGAUUUUUUUUUUUAAUAAAUAAAUUUGAAUUUGACGUUAUAACUUUCUACAGACAAGGCAUAGAUUAUCAUAAAUAUUUUACCUAAAAAUAACCUCUCUUCUCUUUUCACCACACAUCUCAAUCAAGAAUAACCAAUCUCUCAUGUGGCGAAGAUAAAAGUACAAAAGAAUUAACAUAUAUAGCUGACGAAGAUCAAUUAGUCCACAAAUGAGGUCCCAUAUCUGUGUAUUCAGUUAAGUCUUUGAUCCAGAUCCAGAUGUAGCCACAAAGCUACCAAAUCCAUGUGCAGCGUUAUGGUUAAUGCCAGGAAAACCAUACGUUGUUGCUCCAGUUCCAGCUGUAGUUGCAAAGCCGCCAAACCCCUGUGGAAUAUUACGAUUCAUGCCAGGAAAAUCGUAAAUAUUCGAUCCAGACACACUUGCAGAUCCCUGUGCCAUAUUACUGUUCAUUCCGGAACUGUCACUAGCAACAUCUACUUUUGCUUUCUUAGGACAUGGAUCAGAUGAUGGGGCCGGACGACUUCUUCGCUUCUUAUCGCUUGGAAGCUGGCUUAUCACAACAAAAGUGGGUUCUCUUGACGCCACAGAAGGAGCCGGAUCUUCAGCAUUUUGAGUGGUUGAAUUACCAGACGGCUUCUUCUUUGCCUGAUAAGGCACAGGCUUGCAUUUUUUGGAAAAACGAGGUUGAGCCAUCUCUAACGCCAUAAAUGGCUUCUUACAGCUUGGACAGCGGAGAAUAUUGUUCAGAUACAUCCGGAGGUACUCGUACUGCAUGUUGCAGAGAUUACAUAUUGUCCAGAAAGUAUCACUGUUUUUCUUGUAGAGUGGAGUAGGAGCUGGUUUUGAGGGCACCUUGGCAGUCUUCUUCUGUGCCUUCGGGACUGUAGUUCUUGCUCCAGGUGGUGCUGACGAGCUGCUGGAAUAUGCUGAUGGGCCGCUGGUAUAUGCUGGCGGGACAGAGGUGUGAGCUGGGGGGCGACCAGCGGGGCGUGCCGACGGACCGACACCUGGUUGUGCUGGUGGAUGGUCGCCAGUGCAUGCCGAUGGACUAGCACCUGUGUAAACUUGUGGACGAAAGCCAGUGUGUGCAGAUGGAGCACCACCAGUGUGCGAUGAUGGAGCACCGCUAGUGCAUGGUGCUGAUGAAGCGCCACCAGUGUGCGCUGAUGGAGCACCGCUAGUGCCUGGUGCUGAUGGAGCACAACCAGCGUGCGCUGAUGGAGCACCGGUAGUGCAGGGUGUUGAUGGUGCACAACUAGUGUGCGCUGAAGGUGCACCGCCAGUGUGUGCCGGAAUUCUCUGCUGGAAUCCGAUAAUUCCUCUUCGUUGGUUGUAGGCCAACCUUCUGUCCUCGUCCAACAGCAACUUCCAGGCCUCGGAGAUAAGCUUGAACGCACCAUCUGCACCGAUAGAGCUGUUCUUGUCCGGGUGCAGCAGAAGAGCCAAUCUCCUGAACUGUUUCUUUAUCGUGUUCUCGUCGGCAGAAGGGCUCACAGCUAGCACUCCAUACCAAUCCGUUUCCCCGUUAAUUUUGUUUUCUGCUGAAAUGUACACAUCGAGUGUCAUCAGCAGCUGGGAAAUACCAUCCAAGCCUGGGUACAGAUUUUGUGCUUUCAAGGCGAACUUUUUUGCACUAAAAAAGUCCCUCUGCUCCAACUUCGCCUCUGCGAUAGAUUUUGCCCUCAUCGCUUCAUCUCUAUUGCACUCCAUAUUCGACGCUUCACUAGAUUAUCGACGGUACUCUUGAUAUGGCAAUACAACAGCAGAAGUGCACCCACUGAUAGCUCACUAGAAACACGAAAAAAUUGCACUGAUAUAGGUAACGAUCUCCACAAAACAGCGAACCGUUUAAUAUUUAAUUGCGCCAAGUACCUAUGUUAUGACAGAAAAGAUAAAUGAAGUUAGUUCUAUAAUGACAGAAAUACAAUGCAAUGGAGGAAACAAAAGAAAUGAAAUCCACGGAAAUACAACAAGUAUUCAUGGAGCAGUCGAAACUUUUAAGUAUUGAUACAAAAUAUAGAUAUAUCAUCUAGACAAAAUUGAUCACCCAAGCAAAACAACGUGAAACAUGAGCAGAAAUCAAGGGAUCAUGAUUUCGACGUGCAAAAUAUAAAGACCCCCAAAGUUCCAUCAAAUAAUAAACAUUAAGUUAGACAAGAUCGAAAUACAAGUUGAUUGAACUAAAACCCGAAAUUUCCAUAAGAAACACUAAAAUAUAGAAACACAUUUAACCCAGUACUGAACCCUCAAAUCUACAAUUGAACAACUCAACCUACAACAGAUGGUUCAAUUUGGUGACAUUAUGUUUCGCUAAAGCUUAGGGUUCGGAUCAUAUUUGAAAGUAAUUUUGGGAAAUAAAACUGUACUUUUUAGGAAUGGGGCGUAAUUCAAAGGCUUUCGGAAAAGGAAAUAAAAGUAUUCAAAUCUGAGAUGGAUCGGAAAUUUCUCAUUUACUUCCAUCAUUUUACGCUUACAUAAAUUCAGAGAAUUAAUUAUGUGCGUGCCGAUUAGGAUUGACAGAAAUGUUUUAAAAUGGAGCUUUUCUGAACACGUGUUCAUAACGGUCGAUCCGUUAAAACAGUAACCUGUUUCGGACACGUGUUGAUAACGGUCGACUCGAACAGUUUAAAAAUUUUACCCGCGAAAUCAAUCAAGUUUACAAGCAAAUGAAAAUUCCGAUAACCUGUUUCGAACACGUGUUGAUAACGGUCGACUCAAACAGUUAAAAAAAAAUUACCCGCGAAAUCAGCCAAGUUUACGAGCAAAUGAAAAUUCCAAGUUAAGAUGUAAAACAUCUGCAUGAACAUGAAACCACACAGUCUUUAGCUGCUUAUUCUUUUUUCAAAACACACCCAAGUUCAAUUUUAAAAUCAUUUAACUCCAAAUUCAAUAUUCAAAAGAAAUUGAUGAAAUUGAAGAAACAUUCUGCAAAUGAUUAUUUGAGCGCAACUUACACAGAAAAACCACAUUACACCAGAUCAAUAAAUUAUCAGGCGAAAACCCUAAUCACAGCACAACCUUCGUCUCAACAGCAGUAAAUGAUAAAAAACCUUCAAAAAAAAAAAAAACAAUGAUUCAAGCAAUCACAACGAGUACAAAUCUGUGCAAAAUUAUAGUUAAACCCCUAAAUGUAAAAUAAAACGAAAACAGAACACAUAAAGCUAACCAUGGAUCUGUAUGCUGAAAACACGACAGGAAAAAAAAAAUCAAUUUCACUCAAAAUCAAAAUUCAGAAUUGAAGAUUACAAAUUCCACGUAGAAAACAAAAAAUAAAAGGAAAAGGAGAGAAGAAGAGAUGAAUUACUGAUAAAAUUGAGGAGUUUGAAUCGGCGGGUGUUUGAGCUGGUUGGGGUUUUAUCUAUCUAUCUUUUCCACCAAAUUGAAAUAAGAAACCUGAAAAAGUGCACAAAAUGUAUAUGCAAUUGAGAAAAUUGGUAGUGACUAUUGCAGGGUUUCAUCUCAUGUUUCUUAUAUAAUAAAAAAAAAAAAAUCGGGUUAACCCUAACUAGAGUUGGAUUUAACCAUGGUUAAUAAUUGGAUUUUAAACAAUAGUUACUUUUCAAAUGCUUAAAAUUCAUGCAUCUUUACACCUGUUGGAUUUCGCCUUUUAUCGUCAUUUAUUAUGUACAUCUGUCACGAAUAGAACGAAUUUAAUUUUUUUUUUAGGUCCUCGAUUUCCUUUGCUGUCAGUUGUAAUGCAUUUACUAUUUUUGUCUUGUAUAAUUAAUUUUCUUUUUCAAAAAUAUUAUUAAUUUUCUUUUUAUACUACUAAAGCAAAAUCUACUUCAAUCCCAUUUAAUUAAAAGGUUUAUCAAGCAAAAUAUAUAACAAGAUCACAGGCUACUACAAUAUAGAUAUUUCAUAUUAGUGUUUGAUUCCAUUGCAAUUUGAUUUUUUUCUUUUUUUGUUUUGUAAUUUAUAUUUUAGUUAGUCAUUUGUAGUUGUCACUUUUGAAUAUUGGUAAGCGCGGGAGAAAAGCAAAGGCAAUGUUACACUUAGUCAACGAUUGUGUUAGAUUACUAUAAUAGCCCUUGACUUUAUUGAGUAUGACUUGAUUGGCAAAAUCCGGUUAUAUUUCAUUCCAAAAGCAACUCAGGAAAUAAAGCAAAUGAAACGACACCGUAUUAAUGACUGCAAAAGAGAAUCAAAAAUCAAAAUCCGAGUACCACCGAGUCUCCACCGAGUUCAUUUUGGCAACGAGUCAAUGACCAAAAACGCCAGUUCUUUAUUAAAAUAAAAAUUACACCAACUUACCAAAAAAAUAAAAUUAAAAGAACACCACCUCCAGUACAUUUGAAUUACAAAGACAGAAAUACAAGAAACAAACCAAUGAAUGAACAAAUCACAACCACCGACAGCAUACGGGCAUAAUGCAGAUCAUGCAGAUUUAUGCUUCGGAGAGUUCAUCAACUUUGCUGGGUUAUAUGGGGCUCUUCUUUCGAAGUUUGCUGGCAUUCUUCGGGCGGAGAGUCUGCUUUGUCGUUUUCCUCAGUUUCUUCUGACUCGGGUUUGACCUCAAAAUCCUGCUGUGGUGGUGAUGGUGGUGGUUCUUCAGGAUCUGCUUUGUCGUGGUGGAACUUGACGACAAUGCAGGUGAUAUUGUCGGCACUACCACGACCAAAAGCAGUCUCUGUCAGUUUACGAGCAGCUCCUUCUGGAUCUUCUUCUGUUUGAGCUAUCAGAACCGCAUCC